rnacentral:lncRNA from 1 species
UCUGGAAUCCCCUGGCUUUGGGGGACCUCAGCAUAGGCGGCAGUCUGGAAUGAAAAGAAACCUUCUUUCAAUAAAGCACAAAGCCCCCUCCUGCCCGCUGAUCCCUGCGCUCCUGCCCCCUCUCAUUAACCCCUCCCUCCAUUUUUGCUCCAGGAGAUGCUUUGGAUUUCAGAGUGAGUCUGGGAAGGUGGAGGGGGUUGGGUAGGAGGGAGGCAGGAGGGCCUUCAUGGUGCUCAGCAGGGCAACCUGGAAAAUGCCAGUCAUGUAUUUUUAAUCUGCCUUCUCCUCUCUGAAUGGUAAAAAAAGCAAGAUGGCGGUGAGGUUUGACUGGCGUCCCUAAGGGGCACCGAAGGAGGCUGCAGUUUGAAGAGAGGAGCACCAGGGUCUUCACAGGCACAGCUGAACUCCUGACUCCACUGCUCCUUCCCUCCCUCUCGGGUGGCGGGACGCCUCCCCAAGAUAAGAGCCAUCAAUCAAGUACUUUGUCAGAGUGCUAAGCAAGGAGCUAAUUCAUGCCGCGAGGAAACUAUUUCUAUACACACUGUGAAAUAAAACAGAG